rnacentral:tRNA from 1 species
GCUUUAAAUGCUCAAUCUGGGGGAGCAAAACACUGAAAAUGUUUGGUUUAUUGGUUCAAAUCCAAUUUAAGGCG